GGAGUCUGGGCCGUGUCUCAGUCCCAAUGUGGCCGAUCAACCUCUCAGUUCGGCUACUGAUCGUAGCCUUGGUGGGCCGUUACCCCGCCAACAAGCUAAUCAGACGCAUCCCCACUCCCUUAGCGAUGAAUCUUUGGUAUUACUCAGAUGGCCUCAUAAUACAACAUAGAGUAUUAAUCCGACUUUCGUC
rnacentral:rRNA from 1 species